UACUCACAAUCACAGCUUACAGAGUCAUCUAGUUACCCACUCUGGAAUUAAGGCGUACAGCUGUGACAUUUGUGGAAAAACUUUCAGCCGGAUAGGGAGCCGAAACAUUCACCUACGCAUUCACACCAGACAUGAUGUGUACAGCUGUGAUCAGUGUGGCAAACAGUUUACCACAAACACAGAGUUACGAUGUCACGUUUACCCACACUGAGGAACGACCUUAUAAAUGUGACCUGUGUGAGAAGACUUAAAUCUCCACGUUGCCUGAAAGCACACCAACAGAUCCACACCAGAAAGACUCUACAAGUGCAGUUACUGUGAGAAGCAGAGCGACACAGAUGGAUCAAGUUCUCAACCCUGUCAUCGCUGUGGGAAAGACUUUUGUUGUGACCUUUGUGGAAAAACUUUAAGUCAUUGAAGGACUCUGAAAAUACAUCAACGUAGACACACUGGAGACAAAAUGAACUACUGUAAAGAAUGCGGGAGAGGCUUCACCACUUCAAAGGACUUCAAACAAUAUGAACUCCUUCACAGUGGCGUUAAAAAGCAUGUCUGCGAUCAGUGUGGGUCAUCCUUCAUCAGUGCACGUCAGCUUGAAAAGCAUAAACGAGUCCACACAUGAGAGAAACCAUACAAGUGCAGACACUGUGACAAAACCUUUUCACAAUCAUGUGAUCAUACUAAGCAUGAACGCAGACACAUGAAAGAGAACUUUAUCACGGCGCCCCCCGUGUGCGGCAGCCUGUUACAGCAGCUCUGCUCGUUCUGAGUUUCUUUCUUUCUUAUCUUUUUCUUCUCGUAAUUUUUUAUAACUAACGUAUUAGUAAUUAGAUAACAAAUUUGCCACGUGUGGGACUAAUAAAGGUUAUCUUAUCUUAUCUGUGAAAGAGUUUGAGUAAUCUCGGUUCAUACUCCACUCAGAAACGAUUCCAUGUUACAAAUAAACUGUUACGUCUUGAUUCCUGCUUUUACGUUAAUCUUGUAAACAGUACAUUUGCAUAACGACUGAAACCGGCCCAAUGAAUGAACAAUGGGCUGUGAGGUCAAUUUCUUCAUCAUUAAUAUCCAAAUUCUUAUGAGCAUUGAUCAACAACCACUGGUCAAUGGCCAUGAGUACCAUUCACAGAGUAAAAA